rnacentral:rRNA from 1 species
CACGUAGGGGGCAAGCGUUGUCCGGAUUUAUUGGGCGUAAAGAGCUCGUAGGCGGCUCGGUAAGUCAGGUGUCAAAUCCUCAGGCUCAACCUGGGGCACCACCUGAUACUGCUGUGGCUAGAGUCCGGUAGGGGAGCGUGGAAUUCCUGGUGUAGCGGUGAAAUGCGCAGAUAUCAGGAGGAACACCGGUGGCGAAGGCGGGUCUCUGGGCCGUAACUGACGCUGAGGAGCGAAAGCGUGGGGAGCGAACAGG